AAUCCUCCUGCCGCUCUGUAAGUGAAAGUGAAAAUAGUCCUUUACUGCGAUAAAGACGGUGUCAGAAGUCAAGUGAGCAGGUCGCUUUUCAAAUCUAAUUAUAAAAAGGCAUCAGACAAUCUUAUUUUCUUUCUGAACAAUAGAAAGUGGAGCUCAGACCGGUAUGAUCAGAGUAUCCAGCCUUUGAAUGGCGUUUCUCUCUCUCAGAACCACAUCUCUCAACACUGCAAAGACAAAAACUUCGCUCUGAAUCUGGACUGUAAUUAAUACUGUAAACAUCCUGUUAGUAUAAAAACAGAGAUGGAGUCUGACCAGUCACAGUGGCUCUUUUUGACUCUGCUGUUUCUCCACCAGUCCUGUGUCUCACGAUCAGAGUGGUUUCAGGUUCAUGGUCCAGCUGUUCCUGUGUUUGUUUUCCCUGGUGAAGAUGCUGUCCUGCCCUGUUACCUCUCACCAGACAUCAGUGCUGAAGACCUACAGAUCAGGUGGUUUAGAGAGGAUUACUAUAACCCUGUUUGUUUGUUUGAAUUGGGCUUCUAUAACUUACGUGUACAGAACCCAGCCUACAGGGACAGGGCUGGUCUAUUCCUGGAGAAGCUCCACAGAGGCAAUGUGUCUUUAACACUGAGAGAUGUGAGACGCUCUGACCGUGGACAGUACACAUGCAUGGUGCUGUCUGACAUGAUGGAGGAUAACACUGUUAUUGAGCUGGUUGUUAGAGCCCUGGGCUCCCAGCCCUCAGUGUCUCUCCACUCCCCUGGAGGAGAUCAGGCCCAGCUGCUGUGCAGAUCAGAGGGCUGGUUCCCUCAACCUGCAGUGAUCUGGACAGACAGGGAUGGAAACGAGGUGACAUCACA